GGGUGUUAUAAAUUUUUAAUUUACACUUGUUUCCAGUUAUUUCGUUGUUUUAAAUUGUGUUAGGUAGGUACGAAGGUAUUAUAGUCAAAUAUCAGGAUGCCGAAAAUAUCUCGACUAUAACGAUCCCAACUACAAAAGAUUGAAAGCAUGAAAAUCGCGUAAGUACCUACUUAUCUUCCCAUAUACCUAUUAUUACAUAAAAAUAUUGUGCGGCACACUAUUUUUUGGCCCGAUCCCUGGAAUUGAAUCCGAAACCUCGUCACCCAUAGUGGAACAUUGAAACUCCUGACUAACUAGGUACUACUACUUACUAUAAACGGUCGCGCCCCCGGCUUCGUACCUACGGCUUUUUUGAAAAUAAAUAAGUACAGCCUAUGUCACUCAGGAAUAAUGGUAGCUUUCUACUGAUGAAAGAAUUUUCAAAAUUGGAUCAGUAGUUCCAGAGAUUACUUCAUACAAACUU